rnacentral:rRNA from 1 species
AUUGAACGCUGGCGGCAGGCUUAACACAUGCAAGUCGAGCGAGCGGCGGACGGGUGAGUAAUGUCUGGGAAACUGCCUGAUGGUGGGGGAUAACUACUUGAAACGGUAGCUAAUACCGCAUACCAUCUGAUGUGCCCAGAUGGGAUUCGCUAGUAGGUGGGGUAAUGGCUCACCUAGGCGACGAUCCCUAGCUGGUCUGAGAGGAUGACCAGCAACACUGGAACUGAGACACGGUCAAGACUCCUACGGGAGGCAGCAGUGGGGAAGAUUGCACAAUGGGCGCAAGCCUGAUGCAGCAAUGCCGCGGGGGUGAAGAAGGCCUUCGGGUUGUAAGGCACUUUCAGCGAGGAGGCGUUACUCGCAGAAGAAGCACCGGCUAACUCCGUGCCAGCAGCCGCGGUAAUUC